GUAGAAGACGGGAGAGCCAGCUGCCGCCUCGCCUGCUGGAAGCUGGAGUCUGCAGUACUGCGGUUCGGUUCGCCUUGCUGCAGCUCACCUCACUGUGGUUGGCGGUAGCCACGGACGCAUGCCCCUGGAGCGACUUUACCUUGUGGGUUCACAGGGGAGACUGCUGUUGCUAACCCCUGCUAAGCGUCGUUUCUGGUGGGCAGAGUUGACAAGCCACCUGCUUCUUCACUACUCCUGACUCAUCUCUGCAGAGCAGACACACCUCACUUUUUGGGCAUCACUGAAGAAUGUUCUGACUUUACCUUUUGGGUUCAGAGGGGAGACUGCUGUUGCUAAGCCCUGCUGAGCAUCAUUUCUGGUGUGGCAGAGUUGACAAGCCACCUGCUUCUUGACUACUCCUGACUCAUCUCUGCAGAGCAGACACACCUCACUUCUUGGACAUCACUGAAGAAUGUUCUGAUUCCUAACCUGAAAAUCUGAAAUCUAUAGUGCUCCAAAAUCUGAAACCUUUUGAGCAACAACAUGACACCACGUGUAAGAAAUUCCACUUGUGAGUACUUAACACAAACUUUGUUUCAUGAGC